ACCCUGCAGGCCUAGGUGGGAGCUUCCAGUGCCUCUUGUCAUCAUGCUGGUAUGUCCAGGAAGUGGGAGGUGCCACCAAUGUGUAGCCACCCUGCCUGAGCCCACCACCCUUGGAGUCAGAACACCCUGGGGCAAAUCCUGGCUCACCCCUUCUCAGCUAUGUGAUAUCGGGAGCUGCCAGUCUCUCCUCCUGCUGUUAUCAUGGUUGUAAAGAAAGGGGCAUGAGAAUGCUACUUAAUGGAAAAGAUCCUGCCAUAGGAGAACGAUGAAGUCACAAAGGGACAGAGGAAGGAGGAGGAGAAGAGUGAUUGACUGUGAAAGAAGUGAUGCUGUAUGACUUCCAAGAUGAGGUCAUUGAAAUAUGAUAUAGCUUCCAUUUGUUUCUCUUGGGACACUCCCUACUGGAACCUAGCCAUCAUGCUGUAAGGAAACCAAACAGCCACAUAGAGAAGCCACAUAUAGGUAUUCUGGUUGUUAUAGACUGAAUGUCCAUGUACUCUCCGACCCCACCCCCCAAAUUUGUAUGUUGAAGCCCUAACUCUCAAUGUGAUGGUAUUAGGGGGUGGGGCCUUGGAAGUAAUUAGGUUUAGAUGAGGUCAUGAGGGUGAAGUCCCCAUGAUGGGUUUAAUGCCCACAUAAGAAGACGAAGAGACACCAGAGCUUUCUCUCUCCAUGUGAGGAUACCAUGAGAAGGCAGCUGUCCACAAGCUAGGAAGAGAGCCCUCACCAAGAACUGAAAUCUGCCAGCACCUUAAUCUUGGACUUCCCAGCCUCCAGAACUGUGAGAAAUAAAUGUGUAUUGUUUAAGCCAUC